UUAAUAGAAACCAAAAAGAGGUAUUCCACUGUUAAUGGAAAAAUUGAAAAUAUUUCCUAUUAAG
rnacentral:tRNA from 1 species